GACGAACGCUGGCGGCGUGCUUAACACAUGCAAGUCGAACGGAAAGGCCCUGCUUUUGUGGGGUGCUCGAGUGGCGAACGGGUGAGUAACACGUGAGUAACCUGCCCUUGACUUUGGGAUAACUUCAGGAAACUGGGGCUAAUACCGGAUAGGAGCUCCUGCUGCAUGGUGGGGGUUGGAAAGUUUCGGCGGUUGGGGAUGGACUCGCGGCUUAUCAGCUUGUUGGUGGGGUAGUGGCUUACCAAGGCUUUGACGGGUAGCCGGCCUGGGAGGGUGACCGGCCACAUUGGGACUGAGAUAGGGCCCAGACUCCUACGGGAGGCAGCAGUGGGGAAUAUUGCACAAUGGGCGGAAGCCUGAUGCAGCAACGCCGCGUGCGGGAUGACGGCCUUCGGGUUGUAACCCGCUUUCGCCUGUGACGAAGCGUGAGUGACGGUAAUGGGUAAAGAAGCACCGGCUAACUACGUG
rnacentral:rRNA from 1 species